UUGGUGUAUCAGAGGAGGGCGUCCCGGCGCGUGCGCGCUGCAGCGACAUACUCGCUGGGCCAGAUGACGCCCGGAUGUGCUGGGCGCUUCCUCCGCUGGGAGCAGCGGCAUCGAGGCCGAUGACCCCCGCGCGCAGCCAGCAACCAUGCUGUCGGUGGGUCAAGGUAGGGCGACCAUGCUAUGGAGGUUGGGCGGUGCGCCGCUGCUGAGAUGGUGAAAAUGCACUUGGCGGAGCAGAAGCCGCAUGAUGUGGAGACGACGCUAAGGAAUGCUGUUUGGGGAGCGUGUAGGAGCAAAACCUAGCAAAUUUGCUGAUGUGCUGAUGGUGUCCGAAAAUGACGCUAUGAUCAAACGUAUAAAUUAUACUAGGAGUACUUGAUUAUAGCACCGUGUUAUCCGAUCUAUUUUUGCAGCUACCAAUGCAACCUUGUCCUGUAGUGCUUAGUGUACUAGGUGUUUGAAAUGAUUUUGUGCCUACUAAAUAAUCACCGUGUACUGAACAGUGCAUAUAGUAUAUUUUAGAUAGGCUGUGAAUUUUAUCUGUAGCCAUUAAGCCAUGUGCUACAACUUUCAAAAA